GUCCAUUUCCUAUGGAAAUGUGACAUCUAUUAAAAUUGGAAACGAUACAGAGAAGAUUAGCAUGGCUCCCUGUGCAAGGAUGACACGCAUAUCUUGAGUGGAUUCCUCUUCGGAGGAAAGAUUUUUUU
rfam:Neocallimastix californiae strain G1 LY90scaffold_197, whole genome shotgun sequence.